GCCGGAGUGGCGGAACAGGCAGACGCAACGGACUUAAAAUCCGUCGGGUAGUAAUACCCGUACCGGUUCGACCCCGGUCUCCGGCACCA
rnacentral:tRNA from 1 species